AGGUGAUUUUUCUGUAGAAGCAAACCUCUUUCUCAAAUGAAGGGGCGCUUGAUUCCACUGGAAUUCGAGGGGUGACGUCAUUUGGCGCAGACCCCGUGUUUGCUUAGCGGUGCAGUCAAACGGGCUCGGAGUGCAGCAGAUGGCCAAACAAUAACCAGAAGCAAAAAGCGCCGUCCUGAGAGGGACGGGAUGAAAGUUGUUGGAGGAGUCGGCAUCCAGGAGCUCCCCCUUCCGCCGCGCGCGGCCUUUUUCAUGUGCUCUUCCCCGUGGCCGCGGCCACUCGCAACCAAUAAAUCAUGGUGACAAUAAAUGCUGUGACAUCUGCCACGCAGCAUCUGAUGGCUGACAAAAGUCAUCUGUAGCCCUGAUCUGUGGAGGGAGACCACAGAAGUGAUGGGCGGCGGAGAGCCGGGGGAAGCGCGCGUGCUCCUGCAGCCGCGAUAUUGGCACGUCGGCCGGUGAAUUAGCGCAAAAUUGAAUCGCCCUCCCGUCUCUCAAUUAGUAAUGUCAGUACUGCUCAGUUUUGACCUUGACAGUUGGGCUGAUGAUCAUGAAGCCACACAUGUCAGCCGUCCCCCAAAUUAUUAUUACAGACAAUAAAAGGAAUGUUCUGUUAUUGCAAGCCUUGAUGUUUUUAUUAUACAAAUAACAAACAUUGCAGAUUUAAUCAACGUGUUUUGUUUUUUUAACAAUAAAACUGAGAAUCAAAUCAGUAGCAUUUGUUUAUUCUUGUUCCCAUCUGCAUAAUAACACCAGCCAGCGCCCGUUUUAUGUGAAUUAUGUUUUUAGCUUUUUAAAAUGAUUGCUCUCGUACCGUAGAGUUGUCCUCCUGAUGCAUGCUGGGUAGAAGCAGCAACGAGGCGUGACUCCGUGAUGAAGGGAAACGCGCGGGUGAAGGGUCACAGAUCGCAGAGAAAUGGGAGUCCGCGAGGGAUACAACGGGGAACCUUUGAGAUACAAAGUGUGACCACAUGAUGGCUUUAAAUAUCAUGUGCACAGGGACUUCAAUGUAAACGUGUCGCUUAAAGCUCCCACGGCGAUGGUUGUGUCAAAUAUUUAAAAUAACGUUGUUCCACAAAGUUGGCUUCACUGAACGUCCACAGUAGCCACUGGUCUUGUAUCAGAAUAACAUUUAUAUUUUGCUGACUGCAAUAAAUCCCCCACGUACAGCUGUGUUAUCACCGGCUUACAAAACUCCGGCGAAUUUACACGUAGUUUUGUGGAGUAGCAGUUCCGUGUCAUUACAUUCACCUCGGCGCCAUCCAUCAAUAAUGUCAAGCAUUACUGGAGCAAUUUAUUAAAAGCAUCUGUAUUCAAAAUGCUUUGCAAACCAAGAUAAAAAAAAUGCCACUUUCAUUGAGCACAGUGAUAAAUCAUGAAGGCUGUCUAAAUACAGUGUUCAUUCUGAGAGGAGAAGCUGCACAAAGUGCUUCGUUUGAAAACCCUCCCGAUACCGGGGGGGGGGGGGGGGGGAUUCAAAAACACUGCCCGGGCAAUUCUCCACCUUUUGUGGUGAUUUGCCUAAAAGCAGCUUCCCCUCUUUAACUCCAUAAGCACAUCCUACAUUAAUCAAAGAGCAAUUUUCACAGCAGCUCCGUGGCCAUGAAAGGAUGCACAGAGUGGAAAAUGGAAUCCCGCGAGGCCGUGGGACAAAAGUAGGAUGGGAUGGGCCUCUGCUGCCAGGGGACCGCUGGCUUUCGAUAUUUCUGUCUGCAUCGUGAGAGUUGGAUCCAAACAGACUGUGUCCCACGACUGGAGGAGUCCUCAACUCAAACAAACAAAGCAUUCAUUUGCAUUCAUUAAUACUAAGUGAAAGUGUUUCUGUACAAGGAUGCUAUCAGCGUGCGCUGGCUGUUUAUCACAGAGAUGAUGAUGCAAAAGUUCAUUGUUAAGAGGUUACUUCUUGAUCUUGCCACAUGUCUUUUAAAUGUAUAUUCAUGAGGACCCCUGGCACUUGAAAGCAAGCCAGCUCAUGAACCCUGCACGUAAUUCCCCCUUAAUGAAUGUAUUUAUUCAACAGCAUGUUCAAGCUCUGGUGUGCCCUCUCUUUUCAGACCGCCCUUUCUGAAGAUGUUGUUAUGUACUUAAUGGCGACGAUGCACAUUGUUUUUUAUUUAUGUUGCAGAGAUAACAACAGUGCCUAUUUGCAUUUUAGCAAGGACAGAGACAAACAUGUGACUUAAGAUAUACAUAAAUAGAGACUUUUAUUAAGUGCCAGAAAUAAAUAUGUGCAAAGGGGGAGAAAGAAACAGCUUUCUUGUGGGAAUCAGAAAUGGAGCGUGAAGCUUAUGAAACAGCAACGCCACGGGCUCAUACAAUUAUCUUUCAAUUCCCUUGGCAUGCGGUGUUAUUGUUCCAACAAUAUUUUCUGCUAAAAAAUUUCCGUGAAAUUGUCACCAAUUUACUAGAGGAUCUGUUGCGUCAGGGCCGAGCGUGUAUUGUCGUGGCGAAGCAUCGGGGGCCUCCAGUUGCCGCCACGUUUUGCCUGCUGCGACGUUUAAUAAAGCUCCUGUCGGGACAUUUGGAAUGACAGAAAGUGUGCAAUCUAAUUUUACAGGUGACAGGAAACAGUAAAAUGAAGCUCAACUCAUUGGUUCACAAGCUUUUAUUUCUUAAUGCCCUAAAGCGCCGUCUGAUGAACUAAAGUAACCCUUCAUCAACUCACCAAGUCAUCACAUUUCAUUUUAAAAUGGAUGUUAUUUAACACUAUAUUGGAUAUUGUUUAAGAUGUUAAUUUUACAAUGUUUUUUUUUUAUUAAAACUGACCUGACAACGUUUCAUUUUGCAUGCAUACACAAGCAUUGAAGCUGUAGCUUAUACAUUAUUUGAAGAUGUUCAGAUGUCAUGCUCAAACGGCCGCAGAGACCAGGUUAUAGCAGAACAGCCCAUAUCACAGUUGUAUAUAAUUCAACUUUAAUUAUAUUUAUUGUCGCAUUGAUGUGUAAAUCACAAUGUUUUAUUUCAUAUUAGUCCCCAAAUGUAGUUCUGUCCAACCUACAUCCAAUACGAUACAUACAUCACAUGGCUCCCUGAAUAGGAGCGUUGAUCACAAAUUCAUCUACUUUCCUGUCUGCUUUGCACAAGAUGCACUCGGAUGAACCGUCGCGCCGCCGUCGACUGUUUUCCCAUCAGAACCGUCUUUAUUUCUGUUUACAGCAGAGCUUCCCCCAACGCUUUGAUUGAUGCACUAAGGAAACCAUCAACGCCUCCUCCUGAACAGCGUCGCCGCUGGGUCGUUCACACGCUCCUUCUCCUCCCAGCAGAUCACCCCCCAUGUGUUGGACGACUGUCACAGCUGCCGUUGGCGCCUGUGAUGUCCAGGUUGGGAUAUUGUGUUCUCGUCCUCACCAUGCGUUUCUACCCAGUGACCAGAAAUCGCUUCUGGUCACUGGGUAGAAAGAAAGCCCACCACAGCAUGUCCCUAAAGGGGCGUUUAGAGAGGGGUGGGGGGGGGGGGGGGGGGGCAAUCAAUCUAGACGUGAAUAUGUCUUCUACCUCUCAAGGAUGGGAUCAAAGGAUAUUGUCAAAGUGGUACGACAAAAAGGUACACUUGAAGGAGUAAAAAAAAAAAAAAAAACUCAUCUCAUCAUAAGUCAUUUGGGUGAAGUUUUAACGUGUUCUUCAUGUGAUGUACAAAAAAGGACUCGCUUAGAAAUAAGAAUAAACAUUGUUGGUAAAUUAUAGAUAUGAUACAUACAGACAGCAUACGUUUAUUUUAAUAAAGGGCUACGUCGGGGAUACAAGGAUAUAUAAUGUAAACAAAACAUCUUGUUACCGGGCCGAUUGGCGGGGAGGCAGAUCGAUUGGCGAUGAAGUCAUAAUUACUGACUAAAACCCGCCCGAGUUAAUCCAUCCUUGGCAGAAGGAUGAAUGCGCUGGAUGAAAUAAGACAAUACUUCAUGAGGUGAUGCACGGCUGAUAAAGGACAUACUCAUUCAUCACGGGGGGCUUUGCUUGAUGGAUAUGCAGGCGUUGAUGUUGGGCGCAUCCAUCAAUCAGGGGAGGAGGGAGGUCAGCUUUGAAGAUCAAAGUCAAGCACCCAGCUCGACAGUACAGCGGAUCUCCAGAGGUACAGUAUGGACGUAAUCGCCUUUCAGAGGGAUGUAAGGAUAUAAUUACCUGCUUCACUCCACCUUGAAGUGUCCAUUCUGUCUCAUAAUCUCCGGGUUAACUAGACGUGGGAAUAGAUUAGGCCUUCUUGCCUUCUUGUGUAACACAACUUCAGUUUCUCAAGACUCCCCACCAGCAUUCGCCAAGUGAGCUCUCGCCGUUAUUUGCGUACCGGAAAAAACGUCGUAGCCGAAGCCGCCGAGGGAGGUGCCACGUGGAAAAUGUGUGGCUAAGAGUCAUUGUGCAUCGUGAGUGUCGCUCCCCCCCCCGCCGUCUGCCCCCCCCCUUCAGGUUAACACUGAGGUUACUCACAGCGUCAAAGUGUGAAGGUUCAGAAGGUUCACUGUAUGUGAGUGUGUUGGAAUUCAGCACCUGUUAAGGUUAAAAAAAGGAACCAGUGGUGCAUUGUCGGUUGGUGUUGUGGCUUUGCAAAGUGCUCGGCACAGGGGCGUGACUCCUAUUCUGCACGUUUGUGCUGCCUGUUUGCUUUGGAGCUAAGCUCGCAAGAAAAAACACUCUUAACUCACAGGCAAACGUGGCAGGAGACGGCUCGCUGUCACACGUGAAAAAGUCCUUUCCAUUUUAAUGUUGUUCCUGACGUUCCUUUUCUGGGUUCACAAUGGAAUACACUGAACCUUUCGAAUUAUGAAUCUCCAAGGAACCCUUUGAUGUCAGCUCCUUUUGAACCAAAUUCAAUAACCAUAAUAAAGAUGAAGGGAACAGAAGCCAUUUUUCACUGUGCUCCUUGUUAUCCAAAGCACUGUACUGCCUAUCGCACUGUAUGCUGCCCUGCUCCCCCACAGAGACUCACCGAAACGCCCCAAAGCAAAUAUUACUUCUUACAGAUGGCAAGCUAUUUCCACAGCUGCCAUAUUUGCACUGAGCUCAAAAGGUAUACAUUAGCAUGACGUCGCCAUCUUAAGAGCCCUAUUUGUCUGCUGCUGUCUAAUGCCUAGCCAGCCCGCCCCUCCUUCCUCUCGUGGAAGUCCACAUUGCAGUUCUGGAUUCCAUUAGAGAAUCCCCCCACGGACACCCGGGUCCACGCGUGUGCUGGUGGGACCGGACCGCAGAGACCACUCUCCUAUUUGCAGUUGAGCCGCCAUCCAACUCAGCCUGACAGGGGUGCUGCUUUGAUGUCACAGCACAUUUUUCCAAUUAUAUCAAAGUCACAUGAGAUUAUUUAAUUGCACAAUUAUUAACCAAAUGUUCUGAAUGUACCCAUGCUUUGGGUGUAAUGAAUGAAUUCAGCGGAGCCUAAGUGCUUAACCUAAGAUGGGGGACAGAUACGGAUCCCUGCUCUCCCUCUCGCCGUAUAAUCAAAUUACUUCAUAACCUGAGAAUAGAAUUAAUUAAAGUCAUACGCGGUAGAAUAUCUGGGUUUAAUAAAAGUUAAUGG
ensembl:lncRNA